rnacentral:piRNA from 1 species
UUGUUUUUUUAUUUGUUCUGGGGCGU